AAUCGUUCGUCUGACUUGGGU
rnacentral:snRNA from 1 species